CAGCCAUCGUCCGUGGCCUCUCCCGUCCCGCCGCUCGUGCAUUUCAUUUUAAAUAGGAAGCUUCUUGAAAAGAGCAAAAAUAGGGCUGCUUUUCAUUCAAUUACAUUGACGUUACAGGUACAAUACAGGACCCCCCUCCAGCCAGAAAAAGAAAAUCUUUUCACAUGGUUCCGGUGGGGUACAGACCCCCAGCCAUCACGCAUAACACUCACUCACACACAAAUUGCUCAGUAUUGCAACCGCACUCCUGCUAAACGAAAUUGAACGUCUGUGCGCUUUCCAUCCUUAAAUGAAAUUAAAGGGGAAUAAUGAAAGUAGAUAUAAAAAACGAAGGGGACAUUAAAUCCACAAUGACAAUUAAAUUAGCGAGGUUGGUGCGGCGCAGGCUUCUGCGCGUGUGGUUCUCUGGGCAGAGCUACGUGCACAGCAGGACCGUCGCACACCAGCUGCGCUCGAUCGUGGCCGUCAGCGGUCUUGAGCGACCGGAUCAGGGUAAAACACACCGAUAUGGUCAACAGCCAAACAAAACGGCCUGUCCUCGACCCAACAGAGUCGACCUCCAGCCUACUUCGUCCGUCCACAGUCCAGCACGGUUAACCUCCAACCCGCAUCAUCUGUCCUCAUCACAACAUCGGCACAGUCCAAACCAUAUCAUGCGUCCUCACUCACACGGUCAACCUCCGGCAUCUACCAUCUGUCCUCAACCCAACAGAGUCAAACUCCAGCCUACAUUCUCUACCCGCAGCUCAACACGGUCAACCUCCAACCUGCAUCGUCUGUCCAUGCUUGAACACGGUCAGCCUCCAGCAUCUAUCAUCUGUCCUCAGCGUAGCAGACUGAACCUCCAACCCAUAUCAUGUGUCCUCAUCUCGACACUGUCAAAGUCAAGCGGACGUCCUCAGCGUAACCGUUGGAGAGGAGAGGUGGGAGAAAUUAUCCUUUGUGUCCAGCAGCUGUGGAGAGAAGGAGCUUCUCCGUGUCUCUGAUUUUGUCCUCGUCCCGGCCGUGAUUGAAAUCGCAGAGCAUAAAACGACCUUAGAAUUUCCAUGAUGCAAUCGGGGAGAAGAGAGGGAGAGAGAAGAAAAUAAAAGAGCUGUACUCUCUUCUCAUCGCGGGCUCUUUGUGGAGAACACACACACAUCAGCGAGACGUGCA